rnacentral:rRNA from 1 species
GAUGAACGCUGGCGGCGUGCCUAAUACAUGCAAGUCGAACGCAUAGCGAAAGGUGCUUGCACCUUUCAAGUGAGUGGCGAACGGGUGAGUAACACGUGGACAACCUGCCUCAAGGCUGGGGAUAACAUUUGGAAACAGAUGCUAAUACCGAAUAAAACUUAGUGUCGCAUGACACAAAGUUAAAAGGCGCCUCGGCGUCACCUAGAGAUGGAUCCGCGGUGCAUUAGUUAGUUGGUGGGGUAAAGGCCUACCAAGACAAUGAUGCAUAGCCGAGUUGAGAGACUGAUCGGCCACAUUGGGACUGAGACACGGCCCAAACUCCUACGGGAGGCUGCAGUAGGGAAUCUUCCACAAUGGGCGAAAGCCUGAUGGAGCAACGCCGCGUGUGUGAUGAAGGCUUUCGGGUCGUAAAGCACUGUUGUAUGGGAAGAACAGCUAGAAUAGGAAAUGAUUUUAGUUUGACGGUACCGUACCAGAAAGGGACGGCUAAAUACGUG